CAGUAGCCGCGGUAAUACGUAGGUGGCAAGCGUUGUCCGGAGUUAUUGGGCGUAAAGGGCUCGCAGGCGGUUUCUUAAGUCUGAUGUGAAAGCCCCCGGCUCAACCGGGGAGGGUCAUUGGAAACUGGGAAACUUGAGUGCAGAAGAGGAGAGUGGAAUUCCACGUGUAGCGGUGAAAUGCGUAGAGAUGUGGAGGAACACCAGUGGCGAAGGCGACUCUCUGGUCUGUAACUGACGCUGAGGAGCGAAAGCGUGGGGAGCGAACAGGAUUAGAUACCCGUGUAGUCCCUGUCUCUUAUAC
rnacentral:rRNA from 1 species